UACAGAGGGUGCGAGCGUUAAUCGGAAUUACUGGGCGUAAAGCGCACGUAGGCGGCUUGGUAUGUCGGGUGUGAAAUCCCCGGGCUCAACCUGGGAACUGCAUCCGAAACUGCCUUGCUAGAGUAUGGGAGAGGGAAGUGGAAUUUCCGGUGUAGCGGUGAAAUGCGUAGAUAUCGGAAGGAACAUCAGUGGCGAAGGCGGUCUGCUGGGCCGUUGCUGACGCUGAGGCGCGACAGCGUGGGGAGCAAACAGG
rnacentral:rRNA from 1 species